UGGGGAAUCUUGGACAAUGGGCGCAAGCCUGAUCCAGCCAUGCCGCGUGGAUGAUGAAGGCCUUAGGGUUGUAAAAUCCUUUCGUGGGGGACGAUAAUGACGGUACCCCAAGAAGAAGCUCCGGCUAACUUCGUGCCAGCAGCCGCGGUAAUACGAAGGGGGCUAGCGUUGUUCGGAUUUACUGGGCGUAAAGCGCACGUAGGCGGAUUGUUUAGUCAGGGGUGAAAUCCCGGGGCUCAACCUCGGAACUGCCUUUGAUACUGGCAAUCUCGAGUCCGAUAGAGGUGGGUGGAAUUCCUAGUGUAGAGGUGAAAUGCGUAGAUAUCGGGAGGAACACCUGAGGUGAAGACGGGUUGCUGGGCUGACACUGACGCUGAGGCGCGAAAGCCAGGGGAGCAAACGGGAUUAGAUACCCCUGUAGUCCCUGAGCGGGCUGGCAAGGCGCAU
rnacentral:rRNA from 1 species